CUUUCUCCCUUUAACCGAACACUAGCUCUUUGUUGCUCAACAAAGAAGCGACGACGUUUUAAAAUUUUAAGAACUAUCUCGUUUUUUUGUUUUGUAACUGUUUUGUUACAGGCAUCUCCAUUUUUAGUGCUUGUUGUUUAAGAGCGUGGCGCGUAGCUCCGCGGGAUCGAUCUCUUUGGUGCCAUUAUCGGGCCUGUAGUAGCCGGUUUUCGGAUCGGGCACCCAGGACACCUUCUCGGUUGACCGUGCAGACUCCUCUCCUGUUUUGUUCAACACGGCGCUGUUUCUCGAAGCUCCGGCUCUCCCCGCGCUCGAUACCACUCCUUGCGAUCCGGUUGCAUAUCCUCGUCUGUAAAUACACAAAUCACAUCCAGAUAAGAACCAGAGAUUAACACGUAAAAGCCAAACCUAAACGAAAAUCAUCACGAAGAGACAUGAAAACUCGAUAACUCACCUAAAGACGGCGGUUGAUAUUCCAUCGGCGAAGAAAACAGAGAAAACCUUAGCGUUUGAGAAAGAGCGAGCCAUUUCAAACUACUUUAACAGAGUUUUCAGGUCCAAAGCGCAGAAAGAAGAAGAACUUGACACCGCUACACAGAAACUUCGCUUCAGAUUGC
rnacentral:lncRNA from 1 species